GGAAAAUAUAUCAAUGUGAGAAUAUAUAAAAUGCCUUUCUGACUGGCUUAAGUCAUCAGCUGACUUCUUCGGAAAAGAACAAAGGAGCAUAGGCCCGUAAAAAGUAUUUUAUGAAUCUGCACCCAUGUCUGCACCUUUUAAAUAUUUUAAAUACAACCACGUUUGCCAUUUAUUUGAUGAAUUCUAUUUAAACAAGUAAAAUAGUAUCAGUCGGUUUUGCCGACAGAUGUAAACUCCCA